GACGUAGGGUGCCAGCGUUGUUCGGAAUUACUGGGCGUAAAGGGUUCGUAGGCGGUGCGGCAAGUUGGGAGUGAAAUCUCUGGGCUUAACCCAGAGGCUGCUUCCAAAACUGCUGUGCUUGAGUGUGGGAGAGGCGCGUGGAAUUGCAGGUGUAGCGGUGAAAUGCGUAGAUAUCUGCAGGAACCCGCGUGGCGAAAGCGGCGCGCUGGACCACUACUGACGCUGAGGAACGAAAGCUAGGGGAGCAAACAGG
rnacentral:rRNA from 1 species